GUUUAUUUCAAGCGAAGCUGCAGUAUGCCAAGACUACAUAAUGCAUGAUCCAAAGGAAAAGGAUUACCUAUAUAAGGACGAGAAAGAUGCACAACGAGGCUUCUUCUCAUGACCUCACCGCUGCUCUGGGAAACUACGCAGCUUGGAACGCUAACAGCAUGGAUGCCUGCCGCUUUUCAUUUUUGGACCGGCUGGAACUUUCGCUAACUUGGAAUACCCGCUGGGACGAACAUUUGCUUGUUUGGGAACACUCAUUCAACAUUGGUGACUAUUCACCGUUGUGCCUCAACUCCUCUGUUCUUGAACGCCUAUUUUGUGUUACCUAUUUAUCGUGUUUGUGUUGUGUUGAUGUGUGUGUGAGAUUAAAUUGUCGGAAACACAAUAAAACUGCCUUGUCGCAUUUUGCUGGUUUGAACAAAGGGGACGUUAGUCUAAAUUCAUACAUAACAAUUUUCUCAGCAUGCUUGAACGAGGUCUCAGGCGUAAACGUGUAGGCGUGUGUGUGUACCUCUGUGUCACAUGACUCUUCAUCUGUGCACUCAUAGCUAAAACCAAGCAAACCAUUCACAUAGCUAACAGGAACAUAAAACAUCUCAAGGGAGGAUAUAGAACAGCUUCAUUGUGGUCACAUGACUCCUUUUCGUAUGCAUUUGACUGACAAUUAUUACAUUACAAGUUCCACAACAGCCUAGCCCUGCUCUGCGCUGGCCUUGCUUGGCUUGGCCUGCCCGUGUUUUUCGUCAGACCUUCAAUCAGUAUACAUGCAAUUUAUUUUUCAAAACAGUCUUGCUGUCCAUAUAAACAAACAGUUUUGGUUUUUUUUAACUUCAAAGAGGAAAUAAACAUUUACAUUUGCAUGCACUUUACCUUUUUAGCUAUACUAUACUAUCAUAAUGCUUACUAUUGCACUCCAUAUCCACAAAUAAGUUAAGUGUAUUUUCAUUUUCAGAUAGUUUAUUGCUUUAAAAAAUGUGUUAUGACAUUGUCUUUUUUACAUGGCAUAAAAAAAUAAACCACUAUUUGUGCUUAAGUUA